rnacentral:rRNA from 1 species
CCUACGGGAGGCAGCAGUGAGGAAUAUUGGUCAAUGGGCGCGAGCCUGAACCAGCCAAGUCGCGUGAAGGAUGACUGCCCUACGGGUUGUAAACUUCUUUUAUAAAGGAAUAAAGUGAGGCACGUGUGCCUUUUUGUAUGUACUUUAUGAAUAAGGCUCGACUAACUCCGUGCCAGCAGCCGCGGUAAUACGGAGGAUCCGAGCGUUAUCCGGAUUUAUUGGGUUUAAAGGGAGCGUAGAUGGGUUGUUAAGUCAGUUGUGAAAGUUUGCGGCUCAACCGUAAAAUUGCAAUUGAUACUGGCAACCUUGAGUACAGGUGAGGUAGGCGGAAUGCGUGGUGUAGCGGUGAAAUGCAUAGAUAUCACGCAGAACUCCGAUUGCGAAGGCAGCAUACCGGCGCCCUACUGACGCUGAGGCACGAAAGCGUGGGUAUCGAACAGGAUUAGAUACCCGUGUAGUC